AGUGAACGCUGGCGGUAGGCCUAACACAUGCAAGUCGAACGGCAGCACAGUAAGAGCUUGCUCUUACGGGUGGCGAGUGGCGGACGGGUGAGGAAUACAUCGGAAUCUACUUUUUCGUGGGUGAUAACGUAGGGAAACUUACGCUAAUACCGCAUACGACCUACGGGUGAAAUCAGGGGAUCUUCGGACCUUGCGCGAUUGAAUGAGCCGAUGUCGGAUUAGCUAGUUGGCGGGGUAAAGGCCCACCAAGGCGACGAUCCUUAGCUGGUCUGAGAGGAUGAUCAGCCACACUGGAACUGAGACACGGUCCAGACUCCUACGGGAGGCAGCAGUGGGGAAUAUUGGACAAUGGGCGCAAGCCUGAUCCAGCCAUACCGCGUGGGUGAAGAAGGUCUUCGGGUUGUAAAGCCCUUUUGUUGGGAAGGAAAAGCAGCAGGUUAAUACCCCGCUGUUCUGACGGUACCCAAAGAAUAAGCACCGGCUAACUUCGUG
rnacentral:rRNA from 1 species